UACGUAGGGGGCAAGCGUUGUCCGGAAUCAUUGGGCGUAAAGAGCGUGUAGGCGGCCCGAUAAGUCCGCUGUGAAAGUCCAGGGCUCAACCCUGGGAUGCCGGUGGAUACUGUCGGGCUCGAGUCCGGAAGAGGAGUGUGGAAUUCCUGGUGUAGCGGUGAAAUGCGCAGAUAUCAGGAGGAACACCGGUGGCGAAGGCGGGUCUCUGGGCCGGAUACUGACGCUGGAGGAGCGAAAGCGUGGGGAGCGAACAGG
rnacentral:rRNA from 1 species